rnacentral:rRNA from 1 species
UACGUAGGGUGCAAGCGUUGUCCGGAAUUAUUGGGCGUAAAGAGCUCGUAGGCGGUUUGUCGCGUCUGCUGUGAAAACGCGAGGCUCAACCUCGCGCCUGCAGUGGGUACGGGCAGACUAGAGUGCGGUAGGGGAGACUGGAAUUCCUGGUGUAGCGGUGAAAUGCGCAGAUAUCAGGAGGAACACCGGUGGCGAAGGCGGGUCUCUGGGCCGAUACUGACGUGGAGGAGCGAAAGCGUGGGGAUCAAACAGG